rnacentral:rRNA from 1 species
GCCGCGUGAGUGAAGAAGGCCUUCGGGUUGUAAAGCUCUGUCGGAAGGGACAAAAACUAUUAGGUUAAUAGCCUAUGUAAUUGAUGGUACUUUAAAGGAAGCACCGGCUAACUUCGUGCCAGCAGCCGCGGUAAUACGAAGGGUGCAAGCGUUGCUCGGAAUUAUUGGGCGUAAAGGGUAGGUAGGUGGUUACGUAUGUCUGGGGUGAAAUCCCUGAGCUUAACUCAGGAAGUGCCUUGGAAACGGCGUAACUAGAGUGCUAGAGAGGUUCGUGGAAUUCCCAGUGUAGCGGUGAAAUGCGUAGAGAUUGGGAGGAACACCAGAGGCGACGGCGGCGAACUGGAUAGCAACUGACACUGAACUACGAAAGCGUGGGUAGCAAACAGGAUUAGAUACCCUGAUAGUCCACGCUGUAAACGAUGGGUACUAGGCUUCGUGGGAAUUGACCCCUGCGGAGCCGGAGCUAACGCAAUAAGUAGCCCGCCUGGGAAGUACGGUCGCAAGACUAAAACUCAAAGGAAUUGACGGGAGACCGCACAAAGCGGUGGAUUAUGUGGUUUAAUUCAAGCAACGCGCAG